AGUGAACGCUGGCGGUAGGCCUAACACAUGCAAGUCGAACGGCAGCACAGUAAGAGCUUGCUCUUACGGGUGGCGAGUGGCGGACGGGUGAGGAAUACAUCGGAAUCUACUUUUUCGUGGGGGAUAACGUAGGGAAACUUACGCUAAUACCGCAUACGACCUACGGGUGAAAGCAGGGGAUCUUCGGACCUUGCGCGAUUGAAUGAGCCGAUGUCGGAUUAGCUAGUUGGCGGGGUAAAGGCCCACCAAGGCGACGAUCCGUAGCUGGUCUGAGAGGAUGAUCAGCCACACUGGAACUGAGACACGGUCCAGACUCCUACGGGAGGCAGCAGUGGGGAAUAUUGGACAAUGGGCGCAGGCCUGAGCCAGCCAUACCGCGUGGGUGAAGAAGGCCUUCGGGUUGUAAAGCCCUUUUGUUGGGAAAGAAAAGCAGCAGGUUAAUACCCCGCUGUUCUGACGGUACCCAAAGAAUAAGCACCGGCUAACUUCGUG
rnacentral:rRNA from 1 species